UACGUAGGGUGCGAGCGUUGUCCGGAAUUAUUGGGCGUAAAGAGCUCGUAGGCGGCUUGGCAAGCCGGGUGUGAAAACUCCAGGCUCAACCUGGAGACGCCACCCAGGACUGCUAUGGCUAGAGGCCGGUAGGGGAUCACGGAAUUCCUGGUGUAGCGGUGAAAUGCGCAGAUAUCAGGAGGAACACCGGUGGCGAAGGCGGUGAUCUGGGCCGGCACUGACGCUGAGGAGCGAAAGCUAGGGGAGCAAACGGG
rnacentral:rRNA from 1 species